rnacentral:lncRNA from 1 species
UUGUUAAAAGGGAAAACUUCAAAAACCCCCCCCUUGUGGUUACGUGCUUUCUCACUUUAGUACCCUGUGAUUUAAAAUGUAUCAAUUUGCUCCCCUGUGGUUUCGUUUUUAUCUUUUCGGUAGCUUUUUCGUUAAUAUUUUGUUAAAUUAUAUACAAAAAACUUUAGAUACUCAUCUAGAUUUAUCAAACAUUCACUUUGGUACCCUUUAAUUUUAACUUUGUCACUGAUUUAAGAAAAAAAAAAUAAUAAAAUUGAUAAUAAAAAGAGAAAAAUGAAACCACAGGGGGACAAAUUGAUUCAUUUUAAACCACAGGGUACUAAAGUGAGAAUGUGGGAAACCACAAGGAGGGUUUUUGAAGUUUUUCCUUGUUAAAAAUGAACGAAACUAGUAACUUGCU